UGGGGCUUAUUCCUCUCGAAUUUUCCCCUGGCAGCUCGAACAGUGAAAGAACGGCGCUGAGUGGUGGUGGCAGUGGUGGUGGGGGUUAAAAGGAAGGUGGUGGAGGGUUUACUGAGAAAGGAGGAGGAGAGGUUAGAGGGAUGUUUUCUGGUACGGGGAGAAGGGGUGCAGAGAGCGAGAGUGGUUGAGGAAGAAGGAGAAGAAGGAGGAGGAGAUGGGUAUAUGAGCUUUGUGGAAGCAGAAG
rnacentral:lncRNA from 1 species